UACGUAGGGGGCGAGCGUUAUCCGGAUUUACUGGGUGUAAAGGGAGCGUAGACGGUUAAGCAAGUCUGAAGUGAAAGCCCGCGGCUCAACCGCGGAACGGCUUUGGAAACUGCGUGGCUGGAGUACUGGAGAGGUAAGCGGAAUUCCUGGUGUAGCGGUGAAAUGCGUAGAUAUCAGGAGGAACACCGGCGGCGAAGGCGGCUUACUGGACAGAAACUGACGUUGAGGCUCGAAAGCGUGGGGAGCAAACAGG
rnacentral:rRNA from 1 species